GGAGAGGUGCCGGAGUGGACGAUCGGGGCGGUCUCGAAAACCGUUGUAGCCUUAGGGCUACCGUGGGUUCGAAUCCCACCCUCUCCGCCU
rnacentral:tRNA from 1 species